UUUCUUCGGUGGGCUCCUUCGGACUUUGCCUCAGGGGACUUUGGGACAAAAACGGAAUAUGAAUUCAGAGAGACACGACCGGGGGACCAGUAGUAAGAGUUUUUCUUUUCUACUUAAAUUUUGAGAAGAGGGGGAGGGGGAGAAGUAUGUUGCACUCAAUUUAUUACAUUUUUGCAUAUUCC
ensembl:ncRNA Y73B6BL.281 ncRNA